rnacentral:rRNA from 1 species
CAAUAGCGUAUAUUAAAGUUGUUGCAGUUAGAACGCUCGUAGUCGGAUUUCGGGGCGGGGCGACCGGUCUGCCGAUGGGUACGCACUGGUCGGCGCGUCCUUCCUUCCGGAGACCGUGCCUACUCUUAACUGAGCGGGGGCGGGAGACGGGACUUUUACUUUGAAAAAAUCAGAGUGUUUCAAGCAGGCAGCUCGCUCUUGCAUGGAUUAGCAUGGGAUAAUGAAAUAGGACUUUGGUGCUAUUUUGUUGGUUUCGAACACCGAAGUAAUGAUGAGAAGGGACAGUCAGGGGCACUCGUAUUCCGCCGAGAGAGGUGAAAUUCUCAGACCAGCGGAAGACGAACCACUGCGAAAGCAUUUGCCAGGGAUGUUUUCACUGA